CCUACGGGCGGCUGCAGUGAAGAAUAUUGGUCAAUGGACGAGAGUCUGAACCAGCCAAGUAGCGUGAAGGAUGACGGCCCUAUGGGUUGUAAACUUCUUUUAUAAAGGAAUAAAACGAGGCACGUGUGCCUUUUUGCAUGUACCUUAUGAAUAAGGAUCGGCUAACUCCGUGCCAGGAGGCGCGGUAAAACGGAGGGACCGAGCGUUAUCCGGAUUUAUUGGGUUUAAAGGGAUCGUAGGUGGGUUUUUAAGUCAGUGGUGAAAGUUCGCGGCUUAACCCUAAAAUUGCCAUUGAUACUGGCAGUCUUGAGUACAGUUGAGGUAGGCGGAAUUCGUGGUGUAGCGGUGAAAUGCUUAGAUAUCACGCAGAACUCCGAUUGCGAAGGCAGCUUACUAGACUGCCACUGACAUUGAUGCUCGAAAGUGUGGGUAUCAAACAGGAUUAGAUACCCGAGUAGUC
rnacentral:rRNA from 1 species